rnacentral:rRNA from 1 species
UGAGCAAUCUGCCCUUCUCAUCGGAAUAAGCGUUGGAAACGACGUCUAAUGCCGAAUACGACCUCCUUUCGCAUGAUCGGAGGUGGAAAGCUCCGGCGGAGAAGGAUGAGCUCGCGGCCUAUCAGCUAGUUGGUGUGGGUAAUGGCCCACCAAGGCGACGACGGGUAGCCGGCCUGAGGAGGGUGACCCGGCCACACUGGGACUGAGACGCGGCCCAGACCUCCGUACGGGGAGCAG